rnacentral:rRNA from 1 species
UACGGGGGGGGCAAGCGUUGUUCGGAAUUAUUGGGCGUAAAGCGCGCGCAGGCGGUCAUUUAAGUCUGGUGUAUAAACCAAAGGCUCAACCUUUGGACGCAUUGGAAACUGGGUGACUGGAGUGUAGGAGAGGAAAGUGGAAUUCCACGUGUAGCGGUGAAAUGCGUAGAGAUGUGGAGGAACACCAGUGGCGAAGGCGAGUCCCUGGACAACACCUGACACUGAGGCACGAAAGCCGGGGGAGCAAACAGG